CCGCACGGGUGAGUAACACGUAUCCAACCUGCCGUCUACUCUUGGACAGCCUUCUGAAAGGAAGAUUAAUACAAGAUGGCAUCAUGAGUCCGCAUGUUCACAUGAAUUAAAGGUAUUCCGGUAGACGAUGGGGAUGCGUUCCAUUAGAUAGUAGGCGGGGUAACGGCCCACCUAGUCUUCGAUGGAUAGGGGUUCUGAGAGGAAGGUCCCCCACAUUGGAACUGAGACACGGUCCAA
rnacentral:rRNA from 1 species